ensembl:snRNA U1 U1 spliceosomal RNA
AUACUUACCUGGCAGGGGAAACACUAUGAUCAUGCAGGUGGUUUUCUCAGGACAAGGCGCGUCCAUUGCACUUAGGGCACGCUGACUCCUGUGAUUUCUCCACAAAGAAGAAACUCGACUGUGUAAUUUUUUGGUAGUGGGGGGACUGCGUGCACACUCUCCCCCA